UUGUGCCAAAUGAGCCCAAAUCCUGGAACUGAAGAGAGUGAAAAUUGGAGCUAAAUGGACUGCUAUAGACAUCACAGCUCCCAUGUGACCACAAUCAGUCUUUAAGUUCAGCUCAGCUUGAUUCGCUACAAGAGCCAAUGAAGUUAUUUCCACAUAUUUCUUUGAAGGAUUCACAGCACGACAAAAGAAGGGCAGUGCUGUUUCCCGUGGCCUGGCUCAACUGGGCUUCGAGUUCCUUGAUAACCCCACUCUGCCUCCCGACAAGAACCUGGAGACUUCCUUUCUCCUGCUUCAGAGUCUCCAAUUCUUCGUGGUGCCUCAUCUCCAU